rnacentral:snoRNA from 1 species
UUUCAAUGAUGACUUCAUAGUUCAGCUGAUUACUUGAUGUAUAUCACUUCAUGUCUUUCGCUCCUAUCUGAUGCUU